AUCAGUGGAAGAAAAUGAGGCGGAUGCUCGCGUCGGAGAUCCUCUCAUCGGCCAUGGAGCGGCGAAUGCUUGGCCAGCGCGUCGAGGAGGCUGACCACCUUGUCAAUUACAUCUACAGGAACUGUAAUAAUGGCACUGUAGACAUCCGGCACGUAACGAGACACUUCUGUGGCAACAUCAUCAGGAAGCUGGUGUUUGGCCGGAGACACUUCGCCUUCGGCGCUGGCAAUAUCGGCCCUGGCCGUGAUGAGGAGGCCCACAUUGACGCGCUCUUCACGGCGCUAGACUACCUCGGCGCAUUCUCCAUCUCCGACUACUUCCCGUCGUUGGUUCUCAAUGGCCUGAUGAGUACAUUCAGACGGCUGCAUGAUCCAAUCAUAAUGGAGAGGAUGGAAGAAUGGAGGGCUCCCAGGAGAAAUGGUGAUGAGAGGAGAGAAGUUGCCGAUUUUCUGGAUGUGUUGAUCUCCUUGGACGAUGCACAGGGAAAACCGUUGUUGUCACUUGAUGAGGUCAAGGCAGAAACGCUGGUAAUAAGCUCUAUUACACCGUCAUAUAUAUAUAUUUCAAACUAGGACUAUAGAUAUGUCCUCGGAAGAAAAAUAGUACGCUUGAAGUGCUUACAUUUUGGUCCAAAUUUCUAAUACUAGAAAUGCUUAUAUUUUACAAUUAAUUAGUGAGGUCUUGGUUUCGUUAUAGGAAACAAUAUACUAUGGUGUGGUUCCGUUCAUUUUGAUGUUAAAAUUAACCGUUGGUUACUAUGACUCAAUAGUGAGCGCGCAAAAUAUCUAAGAUUUAUUUUUUGAAAAAUAGCUAUGGAAAUGUUUGAAAAAAAAAUUGUAAGUCUAGUAUAUGCAUAUCUAUUAUCUCAUUCUAAACUCCACCCACGCAUCGAGAAACAAAGAGACAAAUCAAAAUAAUAUAUGAACAGUAUUGUAGUGUUCAUCUAUGGAUUUCUCUUGUUUUCUAUUUAUUUCUCCAAUCUAGAUUUGAUUGUUGUGACCUCAGUAGAUGUCAGUGCAUACUUAAUAUUGUUGCCAAUUUUCCAAAAGUUUUCAUGGAAAUUUUGAUUGUAUUUGGGAAGUAAAGACAUAUCAGAGGUUGCCCCUGGAAGGAUGAAAAUCCAUCACUGUUUUAAUUUAAUCUUAUGGCUGCAGGAAAUAAUCCUUAAUUCGGUAGACAACCCAUCAAAUGCUGUAGAGUGGGCACUGGCAGAGAUGGUGAACAAUCCAAAGGUCAUGAAGAAAGCAGUAGAUGAACUCGAUAUGGUUGUCGGUAAAGAAAGGCUUGUCGAGGAAUCCGACAUUCACAGCCUCACAUACCUCAAGGCGUGUAUCCGGGAGGCGUUCCGCAUCCACCCCUACCACCCAUUCAACCCUUCCCAUGUCGCGAUCGCUAACAUCACCAUCGCUGGAUUCAUGAUCCCAAAGGGUAGCCAUAUCAUUUUAAGCCGAAUUGGGCUUGGUCGAAACCCUAGAGCACGGGAUAACCCACUCGAAUUCCGACCAGAGCGACAUUUGAAGAAUACUGAUAAUGUGGUGCUAGCUGAGCCAGAGUUACGGUUUUUAUCAUUCAGUGCUGGUAGGCGUGGCUGCCCCGCCGUAUCACUCGGAACUUCAAUUACAAUGAUGCUUUGGGCCGAAAAACUCAAUACUGAUGUAAUAAAAAAACAUAUUUGUAAUUAAAAAAUAUUUACAAAUAGGUCCUUGGCGCCAAUAACGCUGGCACUGAGGAACUAUUUGUAAAUAUUUUACAAAUAAAACCAUUUUUAUUACAAAUAGGUCUUGUUAAAUAAAUUUACAAAUAGGUCCUCAGUGCCAACGAUAUUUGCGUCGUCCCACAUCACAUUAGUGACUUAGAUUCCAUCCAGGGGUGGAGGGGAUGGUGUCAACUUCAUUGGUGUUGUUCCGUUAGAUCACGGCGCCAAUGACGUUGGCGUUACGGAAAGGGCCAUUUAUAGAAUAAAUUUUGGAGUGUAUAUUUGUAAAAUAAGUUUUUUAAAAGGACCAAAAGGUGAAAAUUCAGGGGUAGCCACUGAUUAGAGAAUAGGCUGUUUAGGCGACGACUAGGCAGAUUAGACGGUCUAGGCGUGUUUUCUAAUUUUUCCAUAGAAAUACAAAAUAUUGAUUGAAAAUAACACAUGUUAUAUAGUACUUCCUCCGUUUCCUGUUAUAAGACAUUUUGACUUUGGUUCAAGUCAAACUAUUUUAAGUUUGACUAAGUUUAAAGACGAAUAUAGUAAUAUUUAUAAUAUUAAAUUAGUGUUAUCAAAUCAAUAAUUGAAUAUAUUUUAAUAAUAAAUUUGUCUUAGGUUAAAAAAGUUACUAUUUUUGUUUAUAAACUUGAUCAAACUUAAAGCAAUUUGACUUUGACUAAAGUCAAAACGUCUUGUAACCUGAAACUGAGGGAUUAUCUACGAAGGGGAGCUUUCUCUCGCUUUAAGCGUAGAGGGGAAGAGUGUGGCAGCACUAAAGAAUGGUUCACAAGCAGGUAAGAAUGUAGUAAGAUAACGUAAUGCCAUUCUAUUCUAUAAUGCAGCUGGCCCCACGCUUCCAUAUUUCAUCGCCGUGCAUUGCACAUUUGCACCAAAACUUUUGGCCACUGCUCAUUGCCAAGUCGUUGUUGCCUAAUCGCUACCCUCCGCCAUCUAAAUACGCCCAGUAUCCUUCCAUCCAAGCCGCCUAGGAUUGAUUGGGACCAUUUAGGCAGCAAAACGACUAAAAUCCUCUGACUAGGAUGUAAUCUGGACGUCUUGCUACGGACUAGCGAUGAGUCGCCGUCUAGGCGGCCGUCAAUCAAUCUAUGUAUUGUUUUCAUGUUAAAAGAUAAAUAGUGACUGGUGUGAUCAAUCAACUGGAAACAAAUAUAGAGCACUCCUUUUAUUUACAGGACAUUUCUGCAUAUUUAAAUGGAAGAACAAAAACACGAGCACUACAUGUAACAUUAGCAAGGUUCUUUAAGAAAUAAGAUUUGCUACCAUCCAGCACUUGUACCCGGCCCAACCCAAGGUCCCAGUACCACAACGUACUAAAACAAAUCUGACUAUCCAAUAUUUAGGGGUAGGAUUGGGAAUGAGUAAGAAACCUCUUCCAACACUAAAUCAAUCUUGUUUCUGGGUUCUCGUCAAAAAAGAAAAAAUCUCAUUCUUGCGCCCGUUGUUUCCUUCCUCAUCUGUACUUCUUCGCCGUACGCCACCGACGAUGCAUAUCUUAGCAGAAACCAGAUCAUGCACAACCCAAUAUCCUUCAUCGAUGCUACUGCAUUCUUCCUUGCCACCGGCGCCGGCGCCUAGUCCAACGACUCGCCGCUGCUGCCGCUGCUGUGGCAUCUGGCUCGACCUCUCCACGGCCACCUCGACGUCGUGGCCGGCAACGCCCCUAACUCCACCGCGGCCGCAUUGCUUGGUGUCCGAUCUCUCCACGACCACCUCGUCUGGUGUCACACCCCGCCGCUCGCCAUGGUCGUCGACGCCGAGCAUGCCGCACGCCGCUGUGGACCCUGCAGCCCGUGCCGUCGACGCACCUAUUGCCUGCCGUCACCGUCGACGCCGGGAUCGAAUCUUGCAGCAUGUCGCUGGCAAUGCAAUGCACCCUGCUGCUCAGUGCUCACCGCCACCAUCGAAGCCGGGGCUGGACUCCGCCGGCCGCACACAUCCCCGAACCAUCGAACCCCGCAGCUCGCCGCUGCCGCCAUCAACGCCGGCCCCGGACCUCGCCUUCCGCUGAUGCCGCCGUCAACACUGGCCCCACCGCCCACCCUAGAGGCCAACAUCUCGCCCUUACAUAUGAAAAGUCUAUACUACCCUUUCACCUCUCUUCAAAAGAUGGUACCACCAUAUGGGCUAAAAUGGUACUGCACGGUACCGAGAAAUCUCAAUCACCGUCUGAUAUGUCCCAAUUGACGGCUAGGAUUUGGUACGCCUACCUCUGCUGGACGGGAGCAAAUCACUUAUAAAAUUCCAUCUAUAAAUUGGCCACAUAAUCAGUUAUCUAGCUAUCCUCUCUUCAGUCACACAUAAACAUGUUCUUUCCCAGUACUGCAAAUAUGCGCGAGCAAAAUAAUACCAUAAUAGUAUCAAUAGCCAUGACCAUCCUCCUGCUGGUUGCGUUCUUCUGUCGGAUCAAGAAGCAGGCUGCCAUGGCAGCCAAGAACAAGAGGAAGAAGCAACCCAAGCUGCCACCGGGGCCAGCUACCAUGCCGGUGUUGGGUAACAUGCACCAGAUGCUGAUGAACAAGCCGGUGUUCAGGUGGAUCCACCGCCUUCUCGACGAGAUGGACAUCGAGAUCCGGUCAGAGACCCUUAUAUUUCUUGUCUUCCUUCCCUUUCCCGUCCAUCAGAUCGGUACCGCCCCAUCUUCCUCCUUCCGCUCCUCAUCGGGCUGCCAUUGGGGAGAAGCGCGGAUGUCAGGGGGAGUGGGAGCAGAUCAGUGGCACCAACGACGAGCUGGUUCAUGCCAGCGUGCUCGCCAGGUUGGCGGCCGGCGAGACGACGGGCACUUUGCUAGUAUUACCGAACUAGAGUAAUUAGUAUUCUUUCCUAUCAUUUUGAGAGUAUUGAAUGGUACUAUUCCAAAUGUAACGACUACUCCCCCCGUCAAAAAAAAAAAGAUAAACCCUGGGUUUCCGUAUCCAACGUUUAAUUGUUGGUAGAUGAUAAAAUAUAAUUAAUACUUUAUAUGUGACUUGUCUUUUUAAUUUUUUUUGUAAGUUUUUUUAAAUAAGACGGAUGGUCAAACGUUAAACACGAAAACCUAGGGUUUGUCUUUUUUUGACGAAGGGAGUAUAUAGCUUCUAAAUUACAAAAACAUUAUUAAAAAAUAUAACAUUUAUCAAAAAAAUGUUUAUAUAAUAUACAAUAUUUUGGAACAUUUACAUUAAUUUAAAGAAUAGAUGAUUGAAGUUCUAAAAAUGAAUAGCGAUCGACUAGUGUCAAUUAGUUGGCGACAAACAGAGCACACCUUUUUCCAGGACAUUUGUCAAUAUUUGAAUGGAACAACAAAAGCCGAGCACCACGCGAACACUAGCAAUAGUUCUUUCUUCUUUUUUUUUAGGAAAUGCCAUUCGGCUAGCUUUAUUGAUCAUUAAACAUUAAACAUUGUUACAUCGUUUGCCAAAGCGCUUAGAAUAUAACCAGGAGGUUCAUCGACCCAAGUACAAGACUCUUUCGUACUAAAAGCAAUAGUUCUUUCUUUAUUGAAAAGGAAAACGUGAUGAAGUUUCAUUCCACACGUGUUUAGAAUUCCAUCUAUAAAUUAAUUGGCCACAGAAUCAGUGAUAUAUCUAGCUAGGCUAUCUGCACUCCCAAAAAAAAAUCAGUAAUCAUGCACAAGAACAACGAUACCAUCAUGCCAUCACAACUCAUCGCCCAAAAUGACCAUGCAUAUGUCCUCACCUUUCUGAUGUCAAUAGCCAUGGCCAUCCUCUUGCUCGUUGCGUUGUUCUAUCGGAUCAAGAAGCAGGCAGCUGCCAUGGCGGCCAAGAGGAAGCAACAACCCAAGCUACCACCCGGGCUAGCUACCAUGCCGGUGGUUAGCAACAUGCACCAAAUGCUGAUGAACAAGCCGGUGUUCAGGUGGAUCCACCGCCUGCUCGACGAGAUGGACACCGAGAUCCUGUGCCUCCGUUUCGGUCGCGUCCACGUGAUCGCCGUCGCCUCGCCGGAGAUGGCCCGGGAGGUCCUGCGCAAGAAGGACGCCAUGCUCGCCUCCCGGCCAUCGUCGUUCGUGUCGCGGACGUUCAGCUUUGGGUACAAGAACACCAUCAUGUCGCCGGCCGGUGACCAGUGGAGGAAGAUGAGGCAGGUGCUCACGUCGGAGAUCCUCUCGCCGGCCAUGGAGCGGCGGAUGCUCGGCCGGCGCGUCGAGGAGGCUGACCACCUUGUCAAUUACGUCUACAGCCACUGUAAUGAUGGCACUGUAGACGUCCGGCACGUAACGAGACACUUCUGUGGCAACAUCAUCAGGAAGCUGGUGUUUGGCCGGAGACACUUCAACUCCGGCGAUGGCAAUAUCGGCCCUGGCCGUGAUGA
rnacentral:lncRNA from 1 species